rnacentral:RNase_P_RNA from 1 species
GCAGAUGGCCGGAUGGCCGCACCUGCCGGGCGUGCGUGUCCGGCGGUGAGGAAAGUCCGGACUCCACGGAGCAACGGCGCCGGGUAACGCCCGGCCGGGGAGACCCGAGGGAAAGCGCCACAGAGAACAGACAGCCUGCCUGUGCAGGCAAUGGUGAAACGGUGGGGUAAGAGCCCACCGCGCACGCGGUAACGCGGGUGGCACGGCAAGCCCCGCCGGGAGCAAGGUCGAAUAGGAAACACGGAAGACAUCGCGUCGAGGUUGCUUCAGCCUUGUGUUUCGGGUGGGCCGCAAGAACCUGCCGGUGACGGCUGGUCCAGAUGAAUGGCCAUCGAGGGGACCAUGUCCCUGAACAGAAUCCGGCUUACAGGCCAUCUGCCACC